rnacentral:rRNA from 1 species
CCUACGGGAUGCAGCAGUGAGGAAUAUUGGUCAAUGGGCGCGAGCCUGAACCAGCCAAGUAGCGUGAAGGAUGACUGCCCUACGGGUUGUAAACUUCUUUUAUAAAGGAAUAAAGUGCGGCACGUGUGCCUUUUUGUAUGUACUUUAUGAAUAAGGAUCGGCUAACUCCGUGCCAGCAGCCGCGGUAAUACGGAGGAUCCGAGCGUUAUCCGGAUUUAUUGGGUUUAAAGGGAGCGUAGAUGGGGUGUUAAGUCAGUUGUGAAAGUUUGUGGCUCAACCGUAAAAUUGCCAUUGAUACUGGCAGGCUGGAGUACAGUUGAGGUAGGCGGAAUGCGUGGUGUAGCGGUGAAAUGCUUAGAUAUCACGAAGAACUCCGAUUGCGAAGGCAGCUUACUAAACUGCAACUGACAUUGAUGCUCGAAAGUGUGGGUAUCAAACAGGAUUAGAUACCCCUGUAGUC